AGAGAAAUGAUGUGAUUCCCAAUGUCCCAGAGGUGGAAUAAAUAUGCACAUCCAAGCAGGAAUGAGGGACGGGCACUCUCUUAACCAGCACAGCAGACUAAGAAGGAGCCAGGGCAGGAGAACACAUGAUAGGCUUUUCCAGGGUCAAGCCAAGCUGG